UUGAACGCUGGCGGCAUGCUUUACACAUGCCAGUCGAACGGCAGCGCGGGCUUCGGCCUGGCGGCGAGUGGCGAACGGGUGAGUAAUGCAUCGGAACGUGCCCAGUAGUGGGGGAUAGCCCGGCGAAAGCCGGAUUAAUACCGCAUACGACCUGAGGGUGAAAGCGGGGGACCGAAAGGCCUCGCGCUAUUGGAGCGGCCGAUGUCGGAUUAGCUAGCUGGUGGGGUAAAGGCUUACCAAGGCGACGAUCCGUAGCUGGUCUGAGAGGACGACCAGCCACACUGGGACUGAGACACGGCCCAGACUCCUACGGGAGGCAGCAGUGGGGAAUUUUGGACAAUGGGGGCAACCCUGAUCCAGCCAUGCCGCGUGCGGGAAGAAGGCCUUCGGGUUGUAAACCGCUUUUGUUCGGGAAGAAAUCCUCUGGGCUAAUACCCCGGGGGGAUGACGGUACCGGAAGAAUAAGCACCGGCUAACUACGUG
rnacentral:rRNA from 1 species